GAUCGCCCAACCACCCAACCGCAACCGCCGAAGCUGAAGCCCAAGCACUUAGGUGACGCACAUUUUGUUAUUUAAAAACAUUUUCUUCGACUUUGUCAUCUUGAUUUGCAAACGAAUUUUGAAUUAUUUGUCAUUGAAAGAAAGUCCGUUAGUGCAGUGACAGGUGUCCUUUGUUCCAUAAUGCCUGUGCGCUAUUGCUUGUGUCGAAAGGCCAGAGUCCUUUGGAGUAACAGCCAUAGACUUCCUCAUGGCAUGGUGGAGGCUCAUGCAGAGCAUUGCCGCUCUAGUAGUUGACGUUAAGUACACAUCUAUUUCCUGAAGUCUCACAUUAGUGCCACAUUUACUGAUGCUUUAAGUUUGCUCUGGCAUAGUCAUCAUGCUCAUUGGGUUUUUAAUCCUAAUGCUAGCAAUAUUUGACAUAGACUUCCUCAUGGCAUGGUGGAGGCUCAUGCAGAGCAUUGCUGCUCUAGUAGUUGACGUGAUUCAAAUUUGGGAAUAGCUGUGACCAGAAUGUAGUUUAGUACAAGAAAGAAUGGGAACUGCUUCUCCUUAUUGCCAUUGCAAAUAUGCCUCAACAUAAUCACCACUGCCGUUAUUGUAUCCAUUGAAUUAAUUGAGUCCAUAGGGUAAGGACGCGGGGAAAAAAGAGACAGCACUUUUCUCGUAAUCGACAAACGUAAUGAAAAUGUUCUUGGUCAAAAUAUGUGCUUAAAUUUGAGUCAAACGCAGGCGUCGACAUGAAAUUUUCGAAUUGUUGCAGCUUCUACUUAAUAUUUUUGCGAACUUGAUAUCCCCUUUUUACACAAUAAAGCAAUGUAACCAUUCAGUGAUUUCACUUAAA